CCUACGGGAGGCAGCAGUGGGGAAUAUUGGACAAUGGGGGGAACCCUGAUCCAGCCAUGCCGCGUGUGUGAAGAAGGCCCUCGGGUUGUAAAGCACUUUCAGUGAGGAAGAACGCCUGGUGGUUAAUACCCAUCAGGAAAGACAUCACUCACAGAAGAAGCACCGGCUAACUCCGUGCCAGUAGCCGCGGUAAUACGGAGGGUGCGAGCGUUAAUCGGAAUUACUGGGCGUAAAGCGCGCGUAGGCGGCUUGAUAAGCCGGUUGUGAAAGCCCCGGGCUCAACCUGGGAACUGCAUCCGGAACUGUCAAGCUAGAGUGCAGAAGAGGAAGGUAGAAUUCCCGGUGUAGCGGUGAAAUGCGUAGAGAUCUGGAGGAAUACCAGUGGCGAAGGCGGCCUUCUGGACUGACACUGACGCUGAGGUGCGAAAGCGUGGGUAGCAAACAGGAUUAGAUACCCUAGUAGUC
rnacentral:rRNA from 1 species